UGCAGAGGCUCACAGCCGAUGACCCAUUAGCAGUCCUCAGAGCCUUCAGGGUGCUGUGCGUGCUGGGUGAAACAUGUGGGGACUUUCUGAGGAGGAGGGUUUCUAAAGAGGUUCUGCCCAAGCUGAGCGCCUCUCUGGCAUGGCAGGCUCCGAUCAGCGCCAAGGCUGGGCCUGUCUACACACACACCCUGGCCUACAAACUGCAGCUGGCUGUAUUGCAGGGGCUGGGCUCACUGUGCCAGAGACUGGAUCUGGCUGAAGCAGACCUAGAUGCUGUUUGUGAAGCCUGUCUACCCUACCUGAGCUCCAGACAACCCAUCAGACUGCAAGAAGCCUGUUUAAG